GGGUCAGUAGGUUGGUCGUGCCACCGGUACGUACUGGUCCCACUGAUUCCUCCUUCCUGAAGAACCGUAAUGCCAUUAAUUCGGUGUUGCGGGGAAACAGGACUGUUACUUUGAAAAAAUUAGAGUGUUUAAAGCAAGCUAACGCUUGAAUCCAUUAGCAUGGAAUAAUGAAAUAGGACGAUCGAUCCUAUUUUGUUGGUUUCUAGGAUUGACGUA
rnacentral:rRNA from 1 species